CAACACAGCCAUGUCUUCAAGCUCCCUGUCCAUCGUAGUACUGGCCAUGCUAUCCACAGGGUGUGCAGGUGACAUCCUGAUGACCCAGAGUCCUGCAGCCGUGUCGGUCCAGCCUGAAGGUUCUGCCACUCUCAGCUGUAAAGCCAGCAGUAACAUCGAUGAUGAACUAGCCUGGUACCAUCACAAACCUGGACAAGCUCCUAAAUUCAUCAUCAACUUUUAUUAUACCUUUACAUCAGGCAGGUAUCAUGGCACCAGAUCUAAUAUUGAUUUCACAUUGACGAUCGAUAACGUCCAGGCUGAGGAUGCAGGAGAUUACUACUGUCAGCAACAUAAAGCGUUACCGUUCACACAGUGA